rnacentral:rRNA from 1 species
GGGUUGUGAGGUUAAGCGACUAAGCGUACACGGUGGAUGCCCUGGCAGUCAGAGGCGAUGAAGGACGUGCUAAUCUGCGAAAAGCGUCGGUAAGGUGAUAUGAACCGUUAUAACCGGCGAUGUCCGAAUGGGGAAACCCAGUGCAAUUCGUUGCACUAUCGUUAACUGAAUACAUAGGUUAACGAGGCGAACCGGGGGAACUGAAACAUCUAAGUACCCCGAGGAAAAGAAAUCAACCGAGAUUCCCCCAGUAGCGGCGAGCGAACGGGGAGCAGCCCAGAGUCUGAAUCAGCUUGUGUGUUAGUGGAACGGUCUGGAAAGUCCGACGGUACAGGGUGAUAGUCCCGUACACCAAAAUGCACAGGCUGUGAACUCGAAGAGUAGGGCGGGACACGUGGUAUCCUGUCUGAAUAUGGGGGGACCAUCCUCCAAGGCUAAAUACUCCUGACUGACCGAUAGUGAACCAGUACCGUGAGGGAAAGGCGAAAAGAACCCCGGCGAGGGGAGUGAAAAAGAACCUGAAACCGUGUACGUACAAGCAGUGGGAGCACCUUCGGGUGUGACUGCGUACCUUUUGUAUAAUGGGUCAGCGACUUAUAUUCUGUAGCAAGGUUAACCGUAUAGGGGAGCCGCAGGGAAACCGAGUCUUAACUGGGCGUUAAGUUGCAGGGUAUAGACCCGAAACCCGGUGAUCUAGCCAUGGGCAGGUUGAAGGUUGGGUAACACUAACUGGAGGACCGAACCGACUAAUGUUGAAAAAUUAGCGGAUGACUUGUGGCUGGGGGUGAAAGGCCAAUCAAACCGGGAGAUAGCUGGUUCUCCCCGAAAGCUAUUUAGGUAGCGCCUCGUGAACUCAUCUUCGGGGGUAGAGCACUGUUUCGGCUAGGGGGUCAUCCCGACUUACCAACCCGAUGCAAACUACGAAUACCGAAGAAUGUUAUCACGGGAGACACACGGCGGGUGCUAACGUCCGUCGUGAAGAGGGAAACAACCCAGACCGCCAGCUAAGGUCCCAAAGUCAUGGUUAAGUGGGAAACGAUGUGGGAAGGCACAGACAGCCAGGAUGUUGGCUUAGAAGCAGCCAUCAUUUAAAGAAAGCGUAAUAGCUCACUGGUCGAGUCGGCCUGCGCGGAAGAUGUAACGGGGCUAAACCAUGCACCGAAGCUGCGGCAGCGACACUAUGUGUUGUUGGGUAGGGGAGCGUUCUGUAAGCCUGCGAAGGUGUGCUGUGAGGCAUGCUGGAGGUAUCAGAAGUGCGAAUGCUGACAUAAGUAACGAUAAAGCGGGUGAAAAGCCCGCUCGCCGGAAGACCAAGGGUUCCUGUCCAACGUUAAUCGGGGCAGGGUGAGUCGACCCCUAAGGCGAGGCCGAAAGGCGUAGUCGAUGGGAAACAGGUUAAUAUUCCUGUACUUGGUGUUACUGCGAAGGGGGGACGGAGAAGGCUAUGUUAGCCGGGCGACGGUUGUCCCGGUUUAAGCAUGUAGGCUGGUUGUCCAGGCAAAUCCGGAUAAUCAAGGCUGAGGUGUGAUGACGAGGCACUACGGUGCUGAAGUAACAAAUGCCCUGCUUCCAGGAAAAGCCUCUAAGCAUCAGGUAACAUCAAAUCGUACCCCAAACCGACACAGGUGGUCAGGUAGAGAAUACCAAGGCGCUUGAGAGAACUCGGGUGAAGGAACUAGGCAAAAUGGUGCCGUAACUUCGGGAGAAGGCACGCUGGUGUGUAGGUGAAGUCCCUGCGGAUGGAGCUGAGACCAGUCGAAGAUACCAGCUGGCUGCAACUGUUUAUUAAAAACACAGCACUGUGCAAACACGAAAGUGGACGUAUACGGUGUGACGCCUGCCCGGUGCCGGAAGGUUAAUUGAUGGGGUUAUCCGUAAGGAGAAGCUCUUGAUCGAAGCCCCGGUAAACGGCGGCCGUAACUAUAACGGUCCUAAGGUAGCGAAAUUCCUUGUCGGGUAAGUUCCGACCUGCACGAAUGGCGUAAUGAUGGCCAGGCUGUCUCCACCCGAGACUCAGUGAAAUUGAACUCGCUGUGAAGAUGCAGUGUACCCGCGGCAAGACGGAAAGACCCCGUGAACCUUUACUAUAGCUUGACACUGAACAUUGAGCCUUGAUGUGUAGGAUAGGUGGGAGGCUUUGAAGCGUGGACGCCAGUCUGCGUGGAGCCAACCUUGAAAUACCACCCUUUAAUGUUUGAUGUUCUAACGUUGGCCCCUGACCGGGGUUGCGGACAGUGUCUGGUGGGUAGUUUGACUGGGGCGGUCUCCUCCCAAAGCGUAACGGAGGAGCACGAAGGUUAGCUAAUCCUGGUCGGACAUCAGGAGGUUAGUGCAAUGGCAUAAGCUAGCUUGACUGCGAGCGUGACGGCGCGAGCAGGUGCGAAAGCAGGUCAUAGUGAUCCGGUGGUUCUGAAUGGAAGGGCCAUCGCUCAACGGAUAAAAGGUACUCCGGGGAUAACAGGCUGAUACCGCCCAAGAGUUCAUAUCGACGGCGGUGUUUGGCACCUCGAUGUCGGCUCAUCACAUCCUGGGGCUGAAGUAGGUCCCAAGGGUAUGGCUGUUCGCCAUUUAAAGUGGUACGCGAGCUGGGUUUAGAACGUCGUGAGACAGUUCGGUCCCUAUCUGCCGUGGGCGCUGGAGAAUUGAGGGGGGCUGCUCCUAGUACGAGAGGACCGGAGUGGACGCAUCACUGGUGUUCGGGUUGUCAUGCCAAUGGCACUGCCCGGUAGCUAAAUGCGGAAGAGAUAAGUGCUGAAAGCAUCUAAGCACGAAACUUGCCCCGAGAUGAGUUCUCCCUGAGACUUUAAGUCUCCUGAAGGAACGUUAAAGACGAUGACGUUGAUAGGCCGGGUGUGUAAGCGCAGCGAUGCGUUGAGCUAACCGGUACUAAUG